rnacentral:rRNA from 1 species
UGCUGGAGGUAUCAGAAGUGCGAAUGCUGACAUAAGUAACGAUAAAGCGGGUGAAAAGCCCGCUCGCCGGAAGACCAAGGGUUCCUGUCCAACGUUAAUCGGGGCAGGGUGAGUCGACCCCUAAGGCGAGGCCGAAAGGCGUAGUCGAUGGGAAACAGGUUAAUAUUCCUGUACUUGGUGUUACUGCGAAGGGGGGACGGAGAAGGCUAUGUUGGCCGGGCGACGGUUGUCCCGGUUUAAGCGUGUAGGCUGGUUUUCCAGGCAAAUCCGGAAAAUCAAGGCUGAGGCGUGAUGACGAGGCACUACGGUGCUGAAGCAACAAAUGCCCUGCUUCCAGGAAAAGCCUCUAAGCAUCAGGUAACAUUAAAUCGUACCCCAAACCGACACAGGUGGUCAGGUAGAGAAUACCAAGGCGCUUGAGAGAACUCGGGUGAAGGAACUAGGCAAAAUGGUGCCGUAACUUCGGGAGAAGGCACGCUGAUAUGUAGGUGAAGUCCCUCGCGGAUGGAGCUGAAAUCAGUCGAAGAUACCAGCUGGCUGCAACUGUUUAUUAAAAACACAGCACUGUGCAAACACGAAAGUGGACGUAUACGGUGUGACGCCUGCCCGGUGCCGGAAGGUUAAUUGAUGGGGUUAGCGGUAACGCGAAGCUCUUGAUCGAAGCCCCGGUAAACGGCGGCCGUAACUAUAACGGUCCUAAGGUAGCGAAAUUCCUUGUCGGGUAAGUUCCGACCUGCACGAAUGGCGUAAUGAUGGCCAGGCUGUCUCCACCCGAGACUCAGUGAAAUUGAACUCGCUGUGAAGAUGCAGUGUACCCGCGGCAAGACGGAAAGACCCCGUGAACCUUUACUAUAGCUUGACACUGAACAUUGAGCCUUGAUGUGUAGGAUAGGUGGGAGGCUUUGAAGUGUGGACGCCAGUCUGCAUGGAGCCGACCUUGAAAUACCACCCUUUAAUGUUUGAUGUUCUAACGUUGACCCGUAAUCCGGGUUGCGGACAGUGUCUGGUGGGUAGUUUGACUGGGGCGGUCUCCUCCUAAAGAGUAACGGAGGAGCACGAAGGUUGGCUAAUCCUGGUCGGACAUCAGGAGGUUAGUGCAAUGGCAUAAGCCAGCUUGACUGCGAGCGUGACGGCGCGAGCAGGUGCGAAAGCAGGUCAUAGUGAUCCGGUGGUUCUGAAUGGAAGGGCCAUCGCUCAACGGAUAAAAGGUACUCCGGGGAUAACAGGCUGAUACCGCCCAAGAGUUCAUAUCGACGGCGGUGUUUGGCACCUCGAUGUCGGCUCAUCACAUCCUGGGGCUGAAGUAGGUCCCAAGGGUAUGGCUGUUCGCCAUUUAAAGUGGUACGCGAGCUGGGUUUAGAACGUCGUGAGACAGUUCGGUCCCUAUCUGCCGUGGGCGCUGGAGAACUGAGGGGGGCUGCUCCUAGUACGAGAGGACCGGAGUGGACGCAUCACUGGUGUUCGGGUUGUCAUGCCAAUGGCACUGCCCGGUAGCUAAAUGCGGAAGAGAUAAGUGCUGAAAGCAUCUAAGCACGAAACUUGCCCCGAGAUGAGUUCUCC